rnacentral:lncRNA from 1 species
GUGACAUUUUUUUUUUGCUUUUAUUUAAAUUUAUUCGAAAAAGAGGUUUUCAAAAACAUAUUCCAGAAUAAGAACCAACUCUUUUUCAAGACAUGCUUGCUGGGUUGAAGAAUAUUAGGAGGCCCUUCUCCUCCCUAUACUUAGAAGAAGAUUUUCAGGUACCGCGAAGAGCCCAGAGACGUGCCACAAGAUCCUGCCGUGUGGAUAUACCACGUUGAAGGUCAAUGUUGUUUU